rnacentral:rRNA from 1 species
GAUGAACGCUGGCGGCGUGCUUAACACAUGCAAGUCGAACGGAAAGGCUCCUGCUUGCAGGGGUACUCGAGUGGCGAACGGGUGAGUAACACGUGGGUGAUCUGCCCUGCACUUCGGGAUAAGCCUGGGAAACUGGGUCUAAUACCGGAUAGGACCACAUUUUGGAUGGUGUGGUGGAAAGUUUUUCGGUGUGGGAUGAGCUCGCGGCCUAUCAGCUUGUUGGUGGGGUAAUGGCCUACCAAGGCGUCGACGGGUAGCCGGCCUGAGAGGGUGUACGGCCACAUUGGGACUGAGAUACGGCCCAGACUCCUACGGGAGGCAGCAGUGGGGAAUAUUGCACAAUGGGCGCAAGCCUGAUGCAGCGACGCCGCGUGGGGGAUGACGGCCUUCGGGUUGUAAACUCCUUUCGCUAGGGACGAAGCGCAAGUGACGGUACCUGGGGAAGAAGCACCGGCUAACUACGUG